rnacentral:rRNA from 1 species
UUUUUGGAGAGUUUGAUCCUGGCUCAGGAUGAACGCUGGCGGCGUGCCUAAUACAUGCAAGUCGAGCGGGAGAAUCAUCCUUCGGGAUGAGGAUCCAGCGGCGAACGGGUGAGUAACACGUGGGCAACCUGCCCGCAAGACCGGGAUAACUCCGGGAAACCGGGGCUAAUACCGGAUAGGCCAUUUCCCCGCAUGGGGAAAUGGGGAAAGGCGGCUUCGGCUGUCACUUGCGGAUGGGCCCGCGGCGCAUUAGCUGGUUGGUGAGGUAACGGCUCACCAAGGCGACGAUGCGUAGCCGACCUGAGAGGGUGAUCGGCCACACUGGGACUGAGACACGGCCCAGACUCCUACGGGAGGCAGCCGUAGGGAAU